CCUACGGUGUGCAGCAGUGGGGGAUAUUGCACAAUGGGGGGAACCCUGAUGCAGCGAAGCCGCGUGGGUGAAGGAGUGCUUCGGCAUGUAAAGCCCUAUCGGUAGGGAAGAAGCAAGACGGUACCUGACUUAUAAGCCCCGGCUAACUACGUGCCAGCAGCCGCGGGAAGACGUAGGGGGCGAGCGUUAUCCGGUUUCACUGGGUGUAAAGGGAGCGUAGACGGCCAGGCAAGCCAUGGGUGAAAGUCCGGGGCCCAACCCCGGGACUGCCCUUGGAACUGGAUGGCUGGAGUGCGGGAGGGGCAGGCGGAAUUCGUGGUGUAGCGGUGAAAUGCGUAGAUAUCAGGAGGAACACCGGCGGAGAAGGCGGCCUGCUGGACCGCGACUGACGUUGAGGCUCGAAAGCGUGGGGAGCGAACAGGAUUAGAUACCCCUGUAGUC
rnacentral:rRNA from 1 species